AAUAGUUCAGCUGUAACACAUUUUCUAAUCAAUAAAUAUAUUCCAGAAAUUGUGUUCUGUAAAACUACAUUGCAGGAUCAGAUAAUAUAGAAGAACAGCUUGACUGAAAGUUUUAAGUUCCUUCAGGGCUAAUGUGAGGUGGAAGUUGAUGUUGUGGACAAUUUUAGAGAUGCUGCUUCCUAUACAGUAUCAAAAAUAAUCAUGGAAAUGCAAAGUGUGGUCUGUGAACAAAAUCUUGACUAAAAGAAACCCAAAUCUUUCUUGGUAAGAAGUGAACAUUUCAACAUAUUUCUACAAGAGUUGCAUUCAUUUCCUUGCCAUUAUUGUUCAAAAAUAUUUAAGGAGAUAUGUAUACUGAAGCAACACCUAAGUGUCCAUAAUCCAGAUAAAUUUUCUUGGACUUGGCAUUCCGUUGGAGAUCUCGGCAAAUAUGAAACAUGAAGAAUUACCAUUGAAAAGUCUGUUUAUUUGUGACCAUCAUGCAAUAAUUACGUCACCUUUUUUAAUCCUAGUAACAAUGUCAAAUAAGGAAUGGGAAAGGGGUUACUACUUGUUGUACGUACGACUCUUAAGUAUAUGUUACACUAAAGUAUAUAAAGUACAAUGUAUUGAUGUGUUAAUACUGUAUAUGGAAAACUUAAUGUUUUGAUGUAGGUGUGUACGACUCUUAAGUAUAUGUUACACUAAAGUAUAUAAAGUACAAUGUAUUGAUGUGUUAAUACUGUAUAUGGAAAACUUAAUGUUUUGAUGUAUGGCUUGCGUACAACUCACUCUUUUGGUGGCUAAGAACUACUUAGAAAACUAUAUGUUUGUUUGGAUGAGAAACUAUAUAUAUCGUGUAGUUGUUUUUGCUCUAUGAAUUUUUUAUAUUUCGAGGAACAAAGGUAAAAUGGUAUGUUUUCUGGGAUAGUUUUUCAACUAUGUGGAAUUAACAUAUAAAACAACAUUGUAACAGAUGUGGAGAGUAAUAUAGUCAGGUUUAUAAUUAUGUGGAAUUAACAUCUAAAACAACAUUGUAACAGAUCUGGAGAGUCUAGUCAUGUUUUAUUAUUAUUAUUAACAAUGACUUCUGAUCAAAGCAAGCUACCCACAUAGAUUAUAAUUAAAUAAUAUGAAUCUGGUAAUUAAUAUAGAUAAAUCAAUACAUCAUUGUUACUCAGAACACAUUAAUUUAUCAGUUGAGUACACGUGUUAUAAACGGUAUUUCUGACCAUAAUCCCAAUACUAUUUCACAGUGCAACGGUAUUUCUGACCAUAAUCCCAAUACUAUUUCACAGUGCAACGGUAUUUCUGACCAUAAUCCCAAUACUAUUUCACAGUGCAACGGUAUUUCUGACCAUAAUCCCAAUACUAUUUCACAGUGCAACGGUAUUUCUGACCAUAAUCCCAAUACUAUUUCACAGUGCAAAGUAAUCCUCAUGAUGUAAAAUAUGUAAAACAAAAAUUAAAAAUAAUGAAAGUAAAUAAGUACAUAUUAACCCUUUCACUCCAAUGUUUCUAGAUAAGCAGCUCUUCUGGUGUCAAUUUUAUUUUAGAUACACCAUAAAAUCCAAAAGACCCAGCAUAUUUUACUAUUUCAUUACUAAUGUAAAACUGGCAAAAGUUUUCAGGGUAAUACCUGUGAGUGCUCUGAUUUCCAGUCACUUGAAAAAAAAUGUCCACAAAACUUUAUAUAAUAAUCGCCCAAGACAAUGUCAAGUUACCUUUGAAAGCUCACCAAAUAGUGUAACUUUAGGGUAGCCUGACAUCUGAAAUAUAUUACUAUGACGCACGUUAAUGUUUAGAUAGAGCAUUGGGUAGCAGGACAGUACUGGUGGUACAGCAAAAAACUAAUGUUUAUGUAGAUAAAAAAAAUGAUAUUAUAAUAUAUUAAAGGUGACUUUGAUUUUCAUUCCAUUCUUAUGUCUUGAUCAAUAACAAUACAAUAUGGCAUUCUGAAGUAAGGUUUUAAUGAAAGUGAUUAAUAUCAAGUAAACAGAAUUUGUCAUUAUUAUUUAGUUGUAGCCCUCUUUACGUUUCUGAAUUUGUUUUAUUAGUUUUUGAGCUAAAGUUUGUACUAUAUAAGGAUUUUAACCUUUACAGACAUAGGUGCUUAUAUGAAAUUAUUAUAUAUAUAGAAAUACUUCUUCUAUUCUUGAUAGUCUAUGUAUAUAAGAAUGUCUUUAAUCUUUGUGUAUGAAGAUAGGUGUAUCAGUGUGAAAUGCUACUCUCUGAGGAUAAGGUGUAUUAGUGUGAAAUGCUACUCCCUGAGGAUAAGGUGUAUUAGUGUGAAAUGCUACUCUCUGAGGAUAAGGUGUAUGAGUGUGAAAUACUACAAUUUAUACUU
rnacentral:lncRNA from 1 species